UUUUCAAUAAAGCUUACUCGUUGAAUUGGUAGCAACAUUGAACGUAUAAGAAGUUGAACGGUACAACUAAAUUGUGCAGUUGCUCGUUCAAGAAUCAUAUAGUGUGACGUGGACUUUUCGAUGGCACAACUAAUAUUAUUAUCAUCAUCAACAUGUCAUUUUUUUUAAAUUAUCCAUAAGCCUUUGGCUUCUGCAUGGAUGUGACGUGAAGGGUUUCAGACGACGGUGGCCCAGCGGCUAAUGGAUUACUGGAGCAAGCCGGGCCACCGAGUGCAUGGAUUUAUUUUCAAAGAUUGGAAUGUGAAGUUGAAGACAUGGUAAGUCAUAGUAAAUAGUUUUUUCAAGCUUUUAACAUGCAUGUAAAUG